rnacentral:lncRNA from 1 species
CCCAGUGCCCUCUUGAAGAUGCCGAGAUUUGUCAAACCAUACCAAGUGCCCUUAUCUGGUGCCAGCCUGGCGGCAGGAACAAAAUUUACACUUAUCAGAAUGAGGUUUUCAUUCCUUCCCAGUCCACCCCUCACUGCCCCCACCCCGACGACAUGUUUUCCCCAACUGGUCAGAAGUUCUUGUCUUACUGUCACAUGGUGUUAAAUUUUAGAAAAAGGAGACAUUACCGCUUGACAGACUACAACAGCUGAACAGCAACAGCUGGGAGGACACAGUUGCAGGCGUAACAUUCGGUCCCGGAGAAGGCAGCAACAGAUGCUUUCUGCAUUAGCACUGUGCUCCAUUUCUUCAGUCCUAUGCCCUUCCCAAAAUUGGCACUGCAAGACAUGAUACCUUAAAGGCAUCUCCAAAUGAGCAGGUCAGCCUUCUCAUCGAGCCCAGAGGAGAGCUGGACUCUCAGCCCAGGAUGUUCACAAAGCAAAGCAUGAGCAACAUCGCAGGGCCUGCUGUCCUGGUGGGACUGAGAUGGAGAGCCUUACAAGAAGGAUGAAAAGCAACUCAUCAAUUUCCGCAUAAAGGCACAACUGUGCCCAGGCUAGUCAGUUCACAGACCUGCUAGAAGCCCGUGAUGCUGCCUGUAAGCUUCAACACAGAGUUUUCUACUGAUUGCAGCUGCAGGCCUUCUGAAGAAGGGGAUGAAAACAGCCACGCAUAUCGGAGGUAUGUCAGCAUCAUAACUUGAAACCUCAAGCUCUUCCUUUCCAUGACAACAAAGUUUGUGGAACUAAAUAGUCUUGCAGGGAAAUUCUAGUUUUUAUUUUUCUCUGAGGGCAUGCUGCCAAUCCUGCUCCCUAAACUCAAGUGAUUCAUCACCAUCCUAAACAGCCAAUCAUGGGCGGGUCAACCUGGAAUGGGCUGAAGUAGCAGGAGUUCAAUCUGCCCUCGUAAUACAUGUCACUCAGGGCUGGUGUCACCCUCUCUCCACAGAUGCCAUUUCCUGUUAACUUUGAUGGUCUUGACAUACAAGAAAAUGUGCCGGAUCAGUCACACACUCAGAAGAA